rnacentral:rRNA from 1 species
CGCGGUAUGGGAUGGGGUCGCGUUCUAUCAGCUUGACGGCGGGGUAACGGCCCACCGUGGCUUCGACGGGUAGCCGGCCUGAGAGGGCGACCGGCCACAUUGGGACUGAGAUACGGCCCAGACUCCUACGGGAGGCAGCAGUGGGGAAUAUUGCACAAUGGGCGCAAGCCUGAUGCAGCAACGCCGCGUGAGGGAUGGAGGCCUUCGGGUUGUAAACCUCUUUUAUCGGGGAGCAAGCGAGAGUGAGUUUACCCGUUGAAUAAGCACCGGCUAACUACGUGCCAGCAGCCGCGGUAAUACGUAGGGUGCAAGCGUUAUCCGGAAUUAUUGGGCGUAAAGGGCUCGUAGGCGGUUCGUCGCGUCCGGUGUGAAAGUCCAUCGCUUAACGGUGGAUCCGCGCCGGGUACGGGCGGGCUUGAGUGCGGUAGGGGAGACUGGAAUUCCCG